UCUUGGUGGCUCAGAUAGUAAAGCAUCAGCUUACAAUGUUGGAGACCCAGGUUUGAUCCCUGGAUCAGGAA
rnacentral:tRNA from 1 species